rnacentral:lncRNA from 1 species
CCUCUGUCUCUAGUGAUGUGACUACCCUCCAUCUUGCCACACAUCCAACGCAACAUCCCACUCUAAUAAACUCUUAAGCUAUCAAAAUAAAACUUUCUAAUAACCAUGUCCAAAUACUAGAAGUUCGCUUUCAUUUUUAUUUUUCUGUUCAACACUACAUUACAUAAAGGUCUAGGUCCCAAAACUAAUAAGGCUCUGUUUGGUAAAAAUAGCGGAUAGCUGAUAAGCUAGCUGAUAGCUUUUAGCUGAUAAGCUAACUGAAGUGUUUGGUAAAAACAGCGGUUCAACUAGCUGAUAAAUGUAAAAUGACAUAAAGGGUAUUCUUAAUUCAUAAUAAAAAUUAUAUCAUUAAUUUAAGUAUUUGUAAUUUUGUAAACUAAUUUCUUUAAAAAAAAUACUUUAAAUUUAUUAAUUUAAUAUAUCCUAUGUAUUAUAAAUUAAAUUAAAUUUUAUUCACUAAAAUUUUAUCUUAUAUUUAUUAUCAUUUAAGUGUUUCCACUUUAUAAAAAAAAUAACAUUUACCUCAAAAACAAAAAAAAAGGUAGCACUAAUAGAGUAAUACUAAUAACAGAGAAUAAAGAAAAUAACACUUACCUCAAAAAAAAUAAAAAAAAGGAACACUAAUAGAACAAUAGUAUUUUGUUUCGUAAAAAAAAUGAAGGUAUAUAUUUUUUCAAAAAAAAAAAAAAAAAGGUCAGCUGAUAUAUUUACAAAAAUUGAAAUAAAGGGAUAGUAGUCUUUAUUACGUAGCUUAUUAUAAAAAUUAUAAUGGAUAAAAAUACAAUUUAAAUGAAAUAAUAAGGGUAAAAUUGGAAGAAAAAGUGAGAAGCUAUAAGCUAUAAGCUCAAACGCUACUUGGAAUAGCUUCUGAAAAAUAGCUUAUAAGCUCGUGAAAUAAGCUAUAAGCUCAUGGUGAAAAAGUGUUACCAAACAGAGCUUUUUUUGUCAAACGAGCUUAUAAGCUAUAAGCUAAAAGCUAAAAGCUACUUUUUGGGUUAACCAAACAGAGCCUAAGUAUUAACAAGAACAUCAACAGUGGUGAGUGCCUCAA